rnacentral:rRNA from 1 species
AUGUCAGAUCACUGCCCUCUCCUCUUGACGUGUGAGUCUUCAUCGCGGUGCAGCGCGCGGUUCCGCUUCGAAGCCUUCUGGCCGCAUGUUUCUGGGUUUAAGGAGGUUGUGGCAGCAGUUUGGAACGCGCCCGGAGUGCAUGGAUGUGCGCUUGCCAGGCUGGAUGCCAAGCUCAAGCGGGCGGCUAGAGCGCUCCGUCUCUGGCACAAGCACCACAUUGGGAACACCCUCCUGCAGUUGCUGAUGGCGCAGGAUACGGUUCUGAUGCUCGACCAUGCUCAGGAAGAUAGGCAGCUCGAGCAGGACAAGCUAAUCCUGCGCAAAGAGCUCAAGUCGCGCAUUCUUGGUCUCACAGUUAUCGAGCGCAUCAAGGCCAAGCAGCGCGCCAGAGUCAGGGAAGUUCGAGCUGGUGAUGCCAACACCAAGUACUUCCACAUAAAUGCAAAUGGCCGCCGAAGGAAAAACUUCAUUGCCUCAUUGCCUUCGGGCAGCGUUUUGGCCACGGAGCAGCACCACAAGGAGCAGAUCGCGACCGAGUUCUUCGACCGCUUGCUCGGGGACCCAGGCCCGGUGUCGACGGGAUUCAACUGGGAUGCGCUUGACCUUCCUAGGGCCAAUCUCGAUGACCUGGAGGCUGCUUUCACCCGGGAGGAAAUUGCAGCGGCCAUUGCGGACUUGCCGCCGGAUCGGGCUCCAGGCCCGGACGGUUUUUCAGGGGCAUUCUACAAGGCGGCGGCAGAAAUCAUCUUAGACGACCUUGUCCUCGCAUUCCAGCAGCUGCACUGCAUGAAUUAGACAGGCCUGCAU